AUCAUCUGGGGCUCUUGCUAAAGUACAGAAUCUGAUUCAGUGGGACCCAGAUUCUGCAUUUCUACCAAGCUCCCAGGUGAUGUUGA
rnacentral:pre_miRNA from 1 species